AUGUUGCCAUGGGAAGCCGGCAUCCUUGCACGAGGUGGUUAAGUGCUGAGAGAAAAUAAAUCAGGUUAAGGGGCUAGAGAGAGACUGGAAGGCUGGGGAGGCUAUUUAAAACAGGCAGAGGAGCUCUCUCUGAGGAAGUGACUUUAAAACAGGCAGAGGAGCUCUCUCUGAGGAAGUGACUUUAGGACUGAGUCUUGAACUAUCUGAAGCAGCGACCAUGCAGAUUUCUGGGAUAAGCCAGUUCCAGGCAGAGAAAAUAGCACUGAAGUGGGAAUAAGCAUGACAUAUCCUGGAAAGAGCAAGAAGCUUGCUUGUUUGUUGAGGGAACUGGCUGAAAACCCAGUAGAUUUUGGUGGCCGUUCUUGACUAAGAAGAGUGUGGAACAAAGCCACAGAGUCACAGCCCCAGACAAGACCUGAAUGAAGUGCUACAGCCUGGUGGUGGCAAGACUGGGAGGGAAACAGAAGAGCACUAUGAGACAGAAUCCAGAAGCAAGGAGAGGAAGGAAAGGCCUCAGACCCCCUAAGGAGAAGGAGGUUGGGAGGACCUGAGGGAAGACUUCACAGCUGUGCUCCCUAGAUUACUUUUGUGAUCAUUAUAGAGUAAAACUGACUUUGUGUCUAUA